rnacentral:rRNA from 1 species
AUUGAACGCUGGCGGCAUGCCUUACACAUGCAAGUCGAACGGCAGCACGGGUGCUUGCACCUGGUGGCGAGUGGCGAACGGGUGAGUAAUACAUCGGAACGUACCUUAUCGUGGGGGAUAACGCAGCGAAAGCUGUGCUAAUACCGCAUACGCCCUGAGGGGGAAAGCGGGGGAUCGCAAGACCUCGCGCGAUUAGAGCGGCCGAUGCCUGAUUAGCUUGUUGGUGGGGUAAAAGCCCACCAAGGCGACGAUCAGUAGCUGGUUUGAGAGGACGAUCAGCCACACUGGGACUGAGACACGGCCCAGACUCCUACGGGAGGCAGCAGUGGGGAAUUUUGGACAAUGGGGGCAACCCUGAUCCAGCAAUGCCGCGUGAGUGAAGAAGGCCUUCGGGUUGUAAAGCUCUUUUGUCAGGGAAGAAACACCGGCUUUAACACAGUCCGGGAAUGACGGUACCUGAAGAAUAAGCACCGGCUAACUACGUG